UCCUUUUCACACUACUUUUACUCCACUAUCUUCUAUUUAUACAUUAAAAAUCAAUGGGUCCCACCACUUCACCCACUUUUCUUCCUUUUUUCCACUAUUUUAUACAUAUUUCUUAACCUCCGUGCCCAACCCAUUUGAUAAGAAAUGGGAGGGACGGAGGGAGUAUAAAUUAAGAAACAUCAAAAUUAAAACAACAGUUUAAAAACUACAAAAACUAUUUUUCAAAGAUAUUCUAAAUCUUUAUUCGAAAACUAACAUUAAAUUAUAAAGAGCGAAGCAGAUAUAUAAUAAAAAAUAUCAGAGAUUUAAACAUUACAAAAAUAUUCAAAGCUCACUUAGAUAUUCGAUCAAACAAUUAGACCGCUAGAAUCUUUAUAGACAAUUCUACCUGUGUUUUGAUGCAUAUACAACCUGUCUUUGUCAUUGGCCAGAAUCUGAAACUGCAUAAUUCAAAAAUAACGAAAGUGUAAUUAGUAAUGGAUCGUACCUGUAAAUACAGUUGAAAUUGUACUAUAUAUGUGUGUAUUUUACCUACAUUUACGACAAAACUGUUUAGUAUUCAGCCUCAAGUAUUCCUAGUGAAAAAAAAAUCAUAUCCCUAGUGAUUAAAAAGAAAAACAAAUUAAGCUUUCAGCAAUCUCUAACCAUUGAAAUAGUGGACAUAAUUAAUGUAGUAAAUCGUGUACGAUUAAAAUAUAUAGUUAGAUAACAUAAACAUAACUCUAUUAAGAUUCUCUUCAACUAAAUCGUCAACCCGGUCUCACAUAAAUAAGAUUAUGUAGAUCAUCACAUUUUUUGAAUGCGAAAAAAAUGUUAAAAAUCUCUCUUGGAAUUUUAAUCAAACACUUGCACGUGAGAAUUUGAAACAAUGAGAUAUGUAAGAAUGAAUAAGGCUAACCCAUCCACUUGAGGUGUAUCAUAAUACAUGAACUCAAAAGUCACCAUUAUCAACCUGAAAUGAAAUCACAACAUAAAAAUAAACACAACUCUAUUACAAUUAAAAUAUAUAGUUAGACAACAUAAUCACAACUCUAUCAAGAUUCUAUUCAACUAAAUCGUCAACCCAAGUCUCACGAUUGUUUAGAUCAUCACUGUUUUCGAAUGCGAAGAAAAUGAUAAUAACCUCUCUUAGAACUUUAAUCAAACACUUACACGCCAGAAUUUGAAACAAUGAGAUAUAUAAGAAUGAAUGAGGCUUACCCAUCCAGUUGAGGUGUAUCAUAAUACUUGAACUUAAAAUCAUAAAUUAUCAACCUGAAAUGAAAUCACAAAGAACACGAUAAUCAAAUAGUGAAUAGAUUUAUUCAAAAAAAAGGUAAAACAUAUAUUUGAAAAUCUGGACAUUUUUAAAAGAGAUUUAAAUCAAAAUCACUUUGACCCCCUAAAAACAGGAUCGCUAAUUGGUUACAGCACUGAAAUCAGAAACCAAAACUUACAAUCUCAUUACAACUUAAACUACAUUAUCAGCUAAACCUCGAUAAGAAGAAUAACUGAUAACCAAUAAAUAAAUCUAUUAUACAACUAAACUGAAAUAGAGUAGUUCUAACUGGAGCUAUUCUUGCAAACAUCUCCAUGGCAAUCUCGCCUAGCAUUACUCCUACGCGCAGCUUGACAAAUGAAUCAUCUAAAUCCCUAGCUGAAAAGGUUAAAAGGAAUAGCAAGGGUGAGCAAUAAUGCUCAGCAAGCAUAUAAAAGAAAAUUUGUAAUAAAUAAAAGGAGAAAGAAAUAUAUCAAAUUUUGUAUGUAACUUGCCAGGUAUUUUCAACAAUGGAGAACAACAGUUGUAAUUCUAUAAAAGUAUGGCAAUUACAAGAAAUAAAAUCAUUUAAAACUAUUCUGUGAAAAAUCAUUCGCCUACGGUGCGUGGUGCUGACACGGUGAUCAGCCGAGCAUCAAGCACCGGGACAGGGCGCUACCUAUCCCAGGACUAAGGGGCCCAAGGCACACAUUGGCCUUAAAUAAUGUAACAUGUAACUCACGACCGGCACCACGGUCCAGCAAAUGAAUUCCGAUUGGUUAACAGUUUAUAAAUAGUACUUCUAUAUUAGAAGUCUUUUAACAUCAUUUUCAUGUUACUAAACUCAAAAGGUAUCCAACCUUUUUAAAUCCAAAACCUGCAGAGUAAUCCUCUGUAUACCACAAUUUACUGUUAACCAAGUUUGAAAUCAUAUAUAAUUGGCUAUGCUCAACAUUCUUAAAAGAUAUAAUAUCAAGAGAAUAUUGAACAAAAUAACCAAUUUCCACUAGGACAAAGUAAACCAUGAAAUACAUUUACCAAUAAAGAAUUCCAAAAAGUCUCAAAAUCAAUCUUGUAUGAAUAGAAGUAACUCGUAAAUUGAUUUGUAAAUAAAAGAGAAUGAUAGGAAAAUUGCUCUUUAAUUAUAAGAGACAAAUAGAAUUACUUGCAGUAUAUGUAUAGGUUGCAAAUAAAAUUAUUUGUUAACUGCAAGAGAAGGAUAAAGGUACUUGCCUUAACUCCUGCUUCUCAGAUUUUUAACAACAAUAUCUACUGACAAUUGUUCCCUUCUACUUAGUUUCUGACAGACUUAACAGACUAUCUAGCUUCGCUUUAUUGGUUUGUUCCAUCCUCGCUUCACGGUACUAUUCAACUACUUCUGAACAUCCUUUAUAUGCACAUCUUGGUCGACUCUGUAUGGUAGCAAGACAAUACUUCAAUCGUCGGAUCAUACGAAACUAAUUACUUCUAAAUACUAUUAGAAUUCGCAACUAACUACCCUUCGCAUAUCCAUAUAUAGUAAGCAAUAUAUAUAUAUAUAUAUAUAUAUAUAUAUAUAUAGAGAGAGAGAGAGAGAGAGAGAGAGAGAGAGAUAUCCACAUAAUAAUAUAUACACACCGGAUCAGUCAGACAAAUAACCACAUAAUCAAGAAACAUACAUAUUCCAUCCAACUAUAAUAUAAUGCUAUUAACCAUCAAAUAUCUAUUUAUCGAAAGAAUACACUUAAUUUCUAAAGAAAAUUCGAUAGCAUAUCCUCUGUUUAUUGGACAAUCCACCUGUUUUAAACUAAUACCAACAACCAACUAAUCGAAUCUCAAAUGAAAUACAUUGACAAUUACUGACUAGCAUCAACUAAUGCACAAUUAUAAUCCAACAAUCAUUUCAAAUAACCUCACAACCAAUAUCCACAUAUUUCAAUCAGAACACUUAUUGAAAUCUAAUUCUAGAUGCAAGUCCCUGAAACAGUGCAAAUAAUAAACUUGCAAUGUCACAAACCUAUAUCAUUUACUAACAAUAAAUCAAAUCAAUCCAAUCAAAUCUUUGCAGAGUAACUCUCCUCUAUAACAUAUAAUUUAUACCAUUUUAAUCAAAUAAUAAACUUGCAAUAUUUUAAAUAUUAGUUAUCGUCUUUCACCAACACAUAUAAAUAUUUCCAGAUAAUCAAAGAAUUCAAGUAAAUAAUUAAACAGCUACCAUGAACUAUUAUCAAUAAAUCCACUAUAUUAGCAUAUUAUCCAACUCAUACUAGCAAGUCAAAUUAAAUAGGCAUAUAUGAUCAAAUUCUAUGUCCUGCAGUCAUAUAUUCCAAGGAAAACAUUCUAAUUCAAGACAUCGUUUAUUAAUCUAAUCAAUAUGAUUAUUUACUAUUAUUAGUACCGGUAAAUGUAAUAAUAAUAAUAACCAAUAAUAUUAAUAUAAUUUAAUAACCGAUAUCCUAGAACUAGCAAGUAAUCAAGUCAUAAGCAUAUAAUAAAACCAGGAGCUCUACUCAGUUGUCACACCCCUGUACAUACCAGCAUUCCUCACUCGAUUAUUUCCUAUAGCCAGCCUUUACUUUUACUAAGCCUGCAACAACCUUGCAAACCACCAGUAUUAGCCGAACUCUCCCCUUAUACUCCUUGUUGAAUUUCUGGCCUACCCCUGCUAAUACACAUACCAGGUACACACGCACGCACACACUUUUUACACACGCACGCAGACACGACGACACACACACACCUGUUGUAUUUAUACAAACACACAACAAUACACAGGUAUACAGCCCUGCUGCAACACCGACUUCUAAUCAACUCUAUACACACACCCAUCAGUUGCCUAUAAAACAAUAGUCACACCCCCCUGUCAACUAUGUAACCUCGCACAAAGCUCCCACACCAGCUACCUCUCUGUUCAAACUCGCGCCACCAGUUUCACACACAACAGCCUCUCCCUCGACCUCCAAUACAAUCUCCACCAACCAAGUUCGCAAGCCAACAUAUAUAUAUACAUAACUAUAGUCGCACAUAUCAACACGUAUGUAACAAUUAAAGGGAAGAAGGAAUAGGUGUUGAUUACUUUGUCUUCGCGUGUAAUCGCCUCUACUGUAAUCCCUAACCCCCAAAUCCCUCGAUUGAUUGUUGUGUUGCUCCUUGCAGAGUCGGUGAAUGAAAAGAAAAGAGGGUUUGUUUGUUUAUAUAUUUUUAAAAUUUGUUGGCCUCCAAUUUGAAAAAGAAUGCC
rnacentral:lncRNA from 1 species